rnacentral:lncRNA from 1 species
UAUGGGACGUGGCGUCAAAUUAUUUUUUGUUCCGCCGGAAGUGUUCCCUCCUCACACAGAUGGCGCGAAGCUCCAUGAACCGCCGCUGAACCGCCAUGUUUUGAACGUAUGGGCUUCUAUGGAAGCUUCGCUACCAGGUAUAUCU